CUAAUACAUGCAAGUCGAACGCGGGAAGCAGACUGAAGCCUUCGGGCGGACGUCUGUGGAACGAGCGGCGGAUGGGUGAGUAACACGUGGGCAACCUGCCUGUAAGCUCGGGAUAACUAGCGGAAACGCUAGCUAAUACCGAAUAACGCUGCGCACCGCAUGGCGCGCAGAUGAAAGGCGGCGCAAGCUGCCACUUACAGAUGGGCCCGCGGCGCAUUAGCUAGUUGGUGGGGUAACGGCCUACCGAGGCGACGAUGCGUAGCCGACCUGAGAGGGUGAUCGGCCACACUGGGACUGAGACACGGCCCAGACUCCUACGGGAGGCAGCAGUAGGGAAUAUUCCGCAAUGGGCGAAAGCCUGACGGAGCGACGCCGCGUGAGCGAUGAAGGUCUUCGGAUCGUAAAGCUCUGUUGUUAGGGAAGAACAAGUACCGGAGUAACUGCCGGUACCUUGACGGUACCUAACCAGAAAGCCCCGGCUAACUACGUGCCAGCAGCCGCGGCAAUACGUAGGGGGCGAGCGUUGUCCGGAAUUAUUGGGCGUAAAGGGCGCGUAGGCGGUCUCUUAAGUCUGAUGUGAAAGCCCCCGGCUUAACCGGGGAGGGUCAUUGGAAACUGGGAGACUUGAGUGCAGGAGAGGGAAGCGGAAUUCCAUGUGUAGCGGUGAAAUGCGUAGAGAUAUGGAGGAACACCAGUGGCGAAGGCGG
rnacentral:rRNA from 1 species